UGCAAGUCGAGCGGCUGAGGGAAACUUGCUUGCUACUUUUGCCGGCGAGCGGCGAACGGUGGAUAAAUGCCUGGGGGUCUGCCCGGUCCAGGGGGAUAACUGCUGCGAACGGUCCCUAAACCCGCUUACGCCCUAAGGGGGAAAGCAGGGGACCUUGGGCCCUUGCACGAUCGUAUGAACCCUUGUGGGAUUAGCUGGUUGGUGAGGUAAUGGCUCACCAAUGCGACAAUGCCUAGCUGGGCUGAGAGGAUGAUCAGCCACACUGGCACUGACCCACCUCCCACACUCCGACGGGAGGCAGAAUUGGGGAAAAUGGCCCAAUGCGGGAAACCCUGAUGCAGCCUUGCCGAGUGAGGGAAGAAGGCCUUCGGGUUGUUAAGCACUUUCGGAAAGGAGGAAAGGUUGUACCUUAAUAACUGCCCGUUGCCACCUUACUAACAAAAGAAGCACCGUGUAACUCCGUGCCAGGAGCCACGGUAAU
rnacentral:rRNA from 1 species